rnacentral:rRNA from 1 species
UACGUAGGGUGCGAGCGUUUGUCCGGAAUUACUGGGCGUAAAGAGCUCGUAGGUGGUUUGUCGCGUUGUUCGUGAAAACUCACAGCUCAACUGUGGGCGUGCGGGCGAUACGGGCAGACUAGAGUACUGCAGAGGAGACUGGAAUUCCUGGUGUAGCGGUGGAAUGCGCAGAUAUCAGGAGGAACACCGGUGGCGAAGGCGGGUCUCUGGGCAGUAACUGACGCUGAGGAGCGAAAGCGUGGGGAGCGAACAGG